GAUGAACGCUGGCGGCAUGCCUAAUACAUGCAAGUCGAGCGAACAGAUGAGGAGCUUGCUCCUCUGACGUUAGCGGCGGACGGGUGAGUAACACGUGGAUAACCUACCUAUAAGACUGGGAUAACUUCGGGAAACCGGAGCUAAUACCGGAUAAUAUAUUGAACCGCAUGGUUCAAUAGUGAAAGACGGUUUUGCUGUCACUUAUAGAUGGAUCCGCGCCGCAUUAGCUAGUUGGUAAGGUAACGGCUUACCAAGGCAACGAUGCGUAGCCGACCUGAGAGGGUGAUCGGCCACACUGGAACUGAGACACGGUCCAGACUCCUACGGGAGGCAGCAGUAGGGAAUCUUCCGCAACGGGCGAAAGCCUGACGGAGCAACGCCGCGUGAGUGAUGAAGGUCUUCGGAUCGUAAAACUCUGUUAUUAGGGAAGAACAAAUGUGUAAGUAACUAUGCACGUCUUGACGGUACCUAAUCAGAAAGCCACGGCUAACUACGUG
rnacentral:rRNA from 1 species